UUGCUCUUCAACGAGGAAUACCUAGUAAGCGUGAGUCAUCAGCUCGCGUUGAUUACGUCCCUGCCCUUUGUACACACCGCCCGUCGCUACUACCGAUUGAAUGGCUUAGUGAGGUCUCCGGAUUGGCUUUUGGGAGCCGGCAACGGCACUUGAUUGCUGAGAAGCUGAUCAAACUUGGUCAUUUAGAGGAAGUAAAAGUCGUAACAAGGUUUCCGUAGGUGAACCUGCGGAAGGAUCAUUAUUGAAUAUUCUUGAUGAGUUGUAGCUGGCUCUCCGGGGCAUGUGCACGCUUGUCUUGACUCUAUUCAUCCACCUGUGCACCUUUUGUAGUCUUGGGGGUUGAAAGCAGUCGACUAUCGGAUGGCUACGGCUACUCCGGAUGUGAGAAAUGCUGAGCGCAGAGACGCAUACAGCUCUUCUCAAAUGACUUGCAUACCCUUGAGUACUAUGUAUUCAUAUACCACGUCGUAUGUUGCAGAAUGUGAUCAAUGGGUCUAUGUACCUAUAAUAAUCAUAUACAACUUUCAGCAACGGAUCUCUUGGCUCUCGCAUCGAUGAAGAACGCAGCGAAAUGCGAUAAGUAAUGUGAAUUGCAGAAUUCAGUGAAUCAUCGAAUCUUUGAACGCACCUUGCGCUCCUUGGUAUUCCGAGGAGCAUGCCUGUUUGAGUGUCAUUAAAUUCUCAACCCCUCCAGCUUUUGCGAGUUGUGAUGGGGCUUGGAUAUGGGAGUUUGCGGGUCCUUUAUCAGUAAAGGUCGGCUCUCCUGAAAUACAUUAGCGGAACCGUUUGCAGUCCCGUCACUAGUGUGAUAAUUAUCUACACUGUGAUGAUUGCUCUCUGACUAGUUCAGCUGCUAAUCGUCCGGUACGGACAACAUUUAAUGAACUUCUUGACCUCAAAUCAGGUAGGACUACCCGCUGGACUUAAGCAUAUCAAUAAGCGGAGGA
rnacentral:rRNA from 1 species